ensembl:lncRNA
UGUGAACUGUGAUGUUUGAUGUGUGUUGGCUCUGCUGCGCGCAGUAAUAAAUAGCUUGAUCACAGCUCUUUCUGUGUUGCAGACUUUAUUUACAAACUUCCAUGAUACCCCCCACCCUCCCACUGGGAACAUGAAUUGAAUAUUCAGAAGACAUUUGUUUAAAUACUUCUAGAAAUCUGAGCUGUUGGUGUGUCCUUGGAUUGGUGGUAAUAAUAUUAGAGCUGGCAAUCUUUCUUACUGAAUCUCUACUGUGAGUCAUGUUACCUGAGAUUAAUUCUAUGUUUACCUGUCAGCCUGGACAAAUGUGCUGUAUGAAGGAUGUAAAUCAAAUCAGAUCUUAACUGCUUACAUUUAAGGAGCCUGGUCAUAUUUAAUUAACAGUUCUCCACAGUCGCUGUCCACAUGGGUCAGUGGGACCAAGCAGCACUCUGCUAAUGUGGGACUCUGACCAGCAACAUCCAGCAAGACCCAGACAGCGUUUUCUAUCUCCCAGCUGGAGUUUUUUUGUUUGUGACGGGAGAGUCAGAUUUUUGUUGAAGCUGGAGGAACAGCCUCACACUUGCAGAGGUUACAUGCUACUGAUCCCUGAUGGGAGAAUCAUCACCUCUGCCAACAAAGAAGCCUGGUGGAUGUUUGUUUACAGACUGAUGAUGGGACAUCAUGCUCUGCAUCUUCAAAGUUUGUCUCUUGAUUAUUAUUCAUACACAGUAAUGUGAAGUAUGCUUAUAUCUAGUAUAACUGGACCAACCUGGUGCUCUUCAUUUAUGGAGGCUGUUGAGUCUGAAUGUUGGAUGUUGUGUAUCUCGUGUUCUCUGGGCUUUGUUGUCCUCAGUCUUUUUGCAGGAUCAGAAAACAAAACCAGGAGACCUGUAAAUGUUUCUUCUCCAAUUGGAUGAUGAUAAGACUGUGACACGGGAUGCCACCUUUAGUCUUGUGAUGAAGCAAAGCUCAGGAAGAAGUGUGAUUAAAUGGUACCCACAUGUGUGCUGCUGAGAAGGAUGUACAGGGGCACCUGCAGCCAAAUCCAAGCCUCCUCAGCAACUUCAGGUCUGUCAGCGUGCUGAGGUCACAGAAACAAGAAAAGCAGCUUCAGACUUCAGAGUGUUGUUUACAGUUUUCUGUCAUCAUGAUCUCCCCUGAAGUUUAUCAAGCAAUGGUGACGGUGUGGAGAGACGGUGGUGUUUCCUCAGAAGAACCAGCAGAGUCACAAAGGGCACGAGUCCAUCUCACCACCUUGACUUGCUGACUGAUGCUCGUCUGCACUGCACAGAGGAAAUCAACUGACCGAGUUUCUGAGUGAGGGAGAGAGGAGUCAUCAUCCAGGUAAAGUGACGUGGAUCAGUGGAUACACUUGUCUCCCCUUUAAAGGAGAUACUCUUAGAGAGAGACGAUCUGAGUCAUCAUAAAAUAUGGGAAGGAUAUCACUAUUAGACUGUCUAACCUGCCGGAGCAGCACUGAAUGAUCACCACACAUGACCAUGUUCCUGCAACAUUCAGCAUCUGAUCUGCCAUCUGUGUGCUUCUGCUUUUGUGUCAAAUGUCAAACAGCUGGAGAGGAAACUACACCAGUGUACUGGGAUGUUUCACCAACACGUGCCAGACGCUGUAACUUCAUGGUGACAUCACCAGAGACAGCCCUGCCCACCUCAGGACCUCGCCAUUGAUCAUGAUGAUUAUAAUAAUGACAGCGAGCGGAACUAAGACUGUAAAAAUCAACAACCAGAAUGUUUAGAUGCUUUCUAAUUAUUAAUGAAUACUGAGAGCCUCUUUCUGUGUUUUGUCUGUUUUGGGUUGUUUUGUUUUUUACCUCAUUUGUUACUAACAAAGUUCAACAAACUCACACAGUUUACAUUCUGUAUGUUUCCAUCUUUACCAGCCACAGUCUACCUGCAUUUAGAAAACAAACCUUAGAAAUUGUCGUUUUUCUCUUUUGUAAUUGAUGAUAAUUCAGUGAAUAUACUGCGCUGCUUCCUUUUAUUGCGUCAAACAUUGCUUUAAGUUUUUCAGUGUUCAGUUAUUUUUUACUGCUGUUUGAAUUCUCUGCAUGUUUGACCCUGUAGACUGUUUAAUGGACUGCUUGUCUUGUAACCGCCGCCUGUUUUUGACUAAAGAUUUGGAUUUCUGACUGUAACACAG